UCACACAUUGUAGGAUGUUGGAUUUAAGUUAUUGUUGUUCCAUUGUUGAAGAAAAUGGCAAAGCUUUUGGUUGAAGUUGUCUUUAAUAAUUUUUGAAUUUAUAAAUAAAGAAAACAAAAGAAAGGGAAUAAAGAAAAAGGAAAGAAAAGAAAAGGAAAAGGAAAAGGAAAAGGAAAAGGAAAAAGGAAAAAAAAAAAGAAAAUGAAAGAAAUUGGAAACCCAUUCGGUGCUUAGGGUUUAAAGUGAGAACCCACUCAUUUCAGCCCAUUUCUCCAUCAUUUCCCAUUAUAUUUUCAGAGAAUUUCGAGAGAGAGAGAGUGAAGGAAGAGGAAGAAGAAGUUGCUGCAGGUUGGAGGUUGAAGAAGGGAGGAAAAGCUCAUGGAAGUGCAACCAUGGAAAAAUUUGGGUUCAACCUAUCUAUCUCUGGUUUUUAAGUCGAUUUGAGCUACACAAGAAGAACUAAGAGGAAAACAGAGCACAAAAUUUUCGUGCAAAUCAGAAGGAUCUCUGCUUUUCUCUAGUUUUUCGAACAUUCUGGAGUGUACAGGUUGGAUUAGAAGCUCAAUUGAGAGAAAUGUAGAGGGUAGCAGAGAAGCACGAAUCUGUAUUCGCUAUGUUUGAGGGAUUUCUGGACAAAUCCGUUGGGAAUAUCAUUUUUAUUCCUUCAGGUAAG